GUAUAUGUAUACAUCUAUAUGGGUCUCUCUUUCUCUCUCUCUCUCUCUAUAUAUAUAUAUAGAAAAAACUGACUCUUUCUGAGAGAGAGAGAGAGAGAAAGAGAGAUUUAUUUGAUGAGAAAAUGUG
rnacentral:miRNA from 1 species